UACGGGGGGGGCAAGCGUUGUUCGGAAUUACUGGGCGUAAAGGGCUCGUAGGCGGCCAACUAAGUCAGACGUGAAAUCCCCAGGCUUAACCUGGGAACUGCGUCUGAUACUGGAUGGCUUGAAUUCGGGAGAGGGAUGCAGAAUUCCAGGUGUAGCGGUGAAAUGCGUAGAUAUCUGGAGGAACACCGAUGGCGAAGGCAAUCCCCUGGGCCUGCACUGACGCUCAUGCACGAAAGCGUGGGGAGCAAACAGG
rnacentral:rRNA from 1 species